CCUACGGGCGACAGCAGUGGGGAAUAUUGCACAAUGGAGGGAACUCUGAUGCAGCGACGCCGCGUGAGUGAAGAAGUAUUUCGGUAUGUAAAGCUCUAUCAGCAGGGAAGAAAAUGACGGUACCUGACUAAGAAGCCCCGGCUAACUACGUGCCAGCAGCCGCGGUAAUACGUAGGGGGCAAGCGUUAUCCGGAUUUACUGGGUGUAAAGGGGGCGUAGACGGUGUAGCAAGUCUGAUGUGAAAGGUCGGGGCCCAACCCCGGGACUGCAUUGGAAACUGUUGAACUGGAGUACAGGAGAGGUAUGCGGAAUUCCUAGUGUAGCGGUGAAAUGCGUAGAUAUUAGGAAGAACUCCAGUGGCGAAGGCGGCUUACUGGACUGUAACUGACGUUGAGGCUCGAAAGCGUGGGGAGCGAACAGGAUUAGAUACCCCUGUAGUC
rnacentral:rRNA from 1 species